AGGUGAGCAAUUACCAGUCUUUUUCUAUCUCUACUAUUUUUUCACUACUCUUUUCACUGAACAGACUUGUAGGCACAUCUUCCCACCUAGCUUUUUUUUUUCUGUAACACUCAUUGGAAAUUAAUUCAUUGUCCAAAUUCUUUACAAAUAAGAACACUGUGGUCAAGAGAAAAAAAAAAACACAAUGUCUUUUACAUAAAAGGUAGUAAGUAAUCAAGCCAGUAUAAAACUAGAUCUUUUCCCUCCAAAUGGCAGGCUUGUCCUGUGUAACAUACUAAGGACACUAAGGUAUUAUAAUCUUAGGUAAUUAAGCUUCUUUAAGCUUCAGGAAUAUAAAUUAUCCCAAAAGAACAGUAUUUCAGGUGAUUUCUAAAGUAUCUAACAUUCUAUGGUCCUAUAAUUAAAGAAUAAAGAUGGUAGUUCCUCAUGGAACACGUUUUCAAUAAUUCUGUAGUUUAUUCGAUGGAAACAGCACUUUCAUUUUCAAAAAAAUCUUCAGGUAAAAACACUUGUGAAACUAAAGAAUUGAGACUGUGAGGAGUGCUGGGCUACAGACAUGAUUCUCAUUGGCUAGGGAGAAUGAUGAAGAAGUUUGUUUCCUAGAACAGAAGAGGAAAGAGACAGGAAAUAGUUGCCCUGACUGAAGAAUCCAGUCAUUAUCUUAGGUCCCAAAGCAGAAUCCUCUUUGAAGCUGGGUGAGAAAAAAAUGGUGCCAUCCCUGGGAGCCUCAUUAGUGAUGAUGUACUUCCAACUAGUCCGUAAGUUGGGGAUCAGAGGUGGGAUGAGGGAGCUACUACCUGGAUUGGUUGUACAAGGCGAAUAUAAAUUCUGAAGAAGAAUGACUUGGUGUUGCCUUUCUGCAGGGGUUACUGGCCAGUCUAAGGUACAGCAGAGCCCACAAUUCUUGCGGGUCCAGAUGGGAGGCACAGCCAUCAUCAACUGCAGUUACACAGACAGUAGUUUUGACUACUUCCUCUGGUACCGACAGGAUCCUGGAAAAGGUCCCACAUUGUUGAUAGCAGUUCGUUCGAACAAGGAUUUGGUGGAGGACGGAAGAUUCACAGUCCAUCUGAAUAAAGAUGCCAAAUACUUCUUCCUGAACUUCAAAGUCUUGCAGCCUGAAGACGCAGGCACCUACCUCUGUGCAGCAAGUACACAGUGGUCCCCAGCCACCUGCAGCCUGUGCACAAACCUGAAGUUGGGGCUCCAGAUGGAGGGAGAGGGAAUCAAAAAAACUUUAAUAUAUUCUCUCAUUUGCCAAUGGAAGCAUAGAGACAAUACUCCUCAUAUAAGAAGAGUAUGAGAAGUUGGGCUUUAUGGUUGUUCUGUUAAAGCAAACUUUUUUGAUUGUGUAUCACAUUAGUACAUUUUUUUGU